UGUGCAGAAUUUAUUUAACUGUAUGCAGUGUUAAAUUAAUUGUGUACGAUGUUAAUUUAACUGAGUACCAUAUUUAAUUAACUGUGUAUCCUAUUAAAUUAACUGUGUACGAUAUUAAUUUAACUAUGUGUAGGAUUAGUUUAACUGUAUACCAUAUUAAUUUAACUGUAUACCAUAUUUAGUUAAAUAUGCACCAUAUUAAAUUAACUAUGUAUCAUAUUAAUUUAACUA
rnacentral:lncRNA from 1 species